rnacentral:lncRNA from 1 species
ACCUGUCUUGUAUGUCUCUCAAUUUUGUCAGAAUUUUUAUUAUUGUUUUUCACAUAUGUGAAAUAAGCAGUUUUUUCAGGGUACAUAGGGUAUCUUUGUUUUACAGAUUUUUAAAGAUGAGGUUUUGAAAAGCCCUCAGAGGUUUUUGUUAAAAGACUAUCUUGCUUAAUAAAUGACAGCUUGUUACAGAUUCACACAUUACAAGUAGGACAGUAUAACAGGAGAUUGGUGUGUGAAUGCUACAAAACAGUCAGCAAAAGGAAUCAUGUUUGCUUGUGAAACUUCAGAGGUACCCUGAAAGUCAUUUCCUAAAGCUAGUGCGUGUGAAUCUUUUCCUUGAAUUGUGCAGAAUAAUUGGAUUGAGGCACAUAUUUUGAGGAGUAGCAAGUGGAAUGGUAUAAUGACUACAGAGAAAAUUAUCUUGAAAUAUAGCAAGGAAGAGAAACAAGUUUUCUUUCUCCACUUUAUUGUUGGACUAAUUGGGUCAAUUUGCUGUGACAUAUCAAAGAUCUCUUUGUGCCAGGCCAAGACUGGCUACUGAGUUCUCAAAGCGUUUUAAUAUAUAGAUUACGUAUGAGUGCCUAUUUUUUCCUCCUCCUUUCAUUUUUUAUCUUAAUACCCAUUUUACUUCUGAAAUAAUUCAUCUGUUUUGCUUUAUGACCAGCUUUAAUUUCAAUUGAGGAAUAAUAACAACCCUAGAGAUUCAUAGGAAAGAGCAUUGAAAUACAUUUUUUGCAUAAAGAUACCUAAAACCAUCUACCCAGCUUAGGGUUGAACUGAAUUUCUGUGAAAUAAAUUUGUUUUAAAUACUAAUUAUUUUAAAACUACUUAAUUCUUAAAAACAAUGUCAUCAGUUUCAAAACUUUCACUUUGGGAGGAUAUUCCUUAAAAGGCAUACAUAGAUGGUAAAGUAUAAAAUAUUUCUGACAGAAUUAUUCAGUAUUAUUCAACAUUUACUUUCAUGUUUGUUAUUGUACCACAAAGAUAGUGUCAUUGUUGGGUUAAAAUGUUGGCUGUUUUUGUUAAUAUACUUAAAACUGUAACCAGUGAAUAACACCUGUAGUAUUUUUUAUUAUAGAUUAUAUUUUAUUUCAAUAAACUUUGAUAUUUAGACC